CUAUUGUGUACUGUGUUCUGAGGGACCCUAACAUCUGAUGCUAGAACUCCUGUUUCAGGAAACUUAUGGUGACAUGCACACAGGAGUAAUUCUACAGUCAGACAAGAAAGAAAGAUUACUGUGACUUGGUCUACAAAAGAACACUGUCCAGUGUCACAGGGAGAGGUCACCUGUAGUUUAGAGGCCGAGGAAAGUAUAGGGGAACCAAGAGAGUAGAGAGUGUUGGAGUCAAGCCCUGAAGAAUUACUAAGGUUUGGCCAGAAUCUAGAAUCUAAACUAGAAGAAAGUUUGAGAAUUCUACUUUCUUCUACUCAACUAUAGGACAUUCCUAGUCAUCAUGCCCCAGGAAUUACCUGCGUGAGCUCCCAAAGAAGUCUUUCUUGCCUUCUAUUAUCCUCAAUCAGUUUUCAGCUCUGGGAAUUUGUCUUUUCUCACUCGCCAAAGCCACAGCUCAGAGCAACCAUCAGAAAAUGAUUAACACUGUCUGUCUGUGCUGCAGCCGUCGGACAAUCACAAAGCAAGGAUAUCAAGCUGCUCAACGUGGCAACUUGAGGCUUGGAUGGACCAGAAUAUCUGAGGUGCUGUCUUUCCUGUUACUCCACUGCACACUCCCCUUGGGAUCAAGUCAGCACCUAGCAGAGCACCAGCAGUUCUGGGGAAAGACUCAGAAAUUGAAUUCUACUUGGUGUCACUUGACUCAAGAUACAGAUCAAGGACCAAGAACCCCUUCCAUGGGUACCUUUUGUCUUCUUGCUAUUUUAAUUCUGUCUUUUUAAUCAUUGACAUUUAUAUAUGAGGCAUAUUCAUCUUUAAUACAUUCAAAUGGCGUGGAAGUGUGUGAAAUACAAAAUGGGAGUCUUCCCUAAAGCCACGUAUUAACCCCCAGCCCCAACACACACACCUGCACGCACACAUAUUCCCUAAAGGAGAGCUUGGUCGAGAACUCCCAGAAUUUGUUUUUGCCUAACCACAAAGAACUCCCACUUCACUAUUUCGUUUAUGUCCUCAACAAUCACGGGAGGUAUCAUCACUUUACAUAUGAUGAUUGUAAAGAUCAGAAAGGCAGAGUGGAACAUUCUCCUACAGGUAGCAAGUAGCCAUUGGGGUUGGAAGUAUUCUACAUCUGUUGAUUCCUAUCUCAACAAAGGCUUCCUUGAGGUUGCUUGAACCAGACUUCUGGCUUAUGGCACAAAGAGUCAUGAAAAAGAUCAUGAAAUCAAAAUUGAAUUCAUUAGUAUUUGCUUUGAAGCUUGCACAUUUAAGAGAAAACUAAUUUAUAGGGCUCUGUAAAGAAAUAUAUAACUAAACCUGUAUCAUCCAAGAAUGUGUCAUAAUUCUUUCCUUUAAAGUGUAAGACAAAGCCAUUACACUUAAAUUUUUAAGAGGCAAUUUAGACAUUUUGAUAUCUUCUAUUUGGAAUAAAAUAUGAUUUGAUACAACCUCA
rnacentral:lncRNA from 1 species